GAUGAACGCUGGCGGCGUGCCUAAUACAUGCAAGUCGAGCGAACGGACGAGAAGCUUGCUUCUCUGAUGUUAGCGGCGGACGGGUGAGUAACACGUGGAUAACCUACCUAUAAGACUGGGAUAACUUCGGGAAACCGGAGCUAAUACCGGAUAAUAUUUUGAACCGCAUGGUUCAAAAGUGAAAGACGGUCUUGCUGUCACUUAUAGAUGGAUCCGCGCUGCAUUAGCUAGUUGGUAAGGUAACGGCUUACCAAGGCAACGAUGCAUAGCCGACCUGAGAGGGUGAUCGGCCACACGGGAACUGGGACACGGUCCAGACUCCUACGGGAGGCAGCAGAAGGGAAUCUUCCGCAAUGGGCGAAAGCCUGACGGAGCAACGCCGCGUGAGUGAUGAAGGUCUUCGGAUCGUAAAACUCUGUUAUUAGGGAAGAACAUAUGUGUAAGUAACUGUGCACAUCUUGACGGUACCUAAUCAGAAAGCCACGGCUAACUACGUG
rnacentral:rRNA from 1 species